AUUGAACGCUGGCGGCAGGCCUAACACAUGCAAGUCGAGCGGAUGAAGGGAGCUUGCUCCUGGAUUCAGCGUCGGACGGGUGAGUAAUGCCUAGGAAUCUGCCUGGUAGUGGGGGAUAACGUCCGGAAACGGGCGCUAAUACCGCAUACGUCCUGCGGGAGAAAGUGGGGGAUCUUCGGACCUCACGCUAUCAGAUGAGCCUAGGUCGGGUUAGCUAGUUGGUGGGGUAAAGGCCUACCAAGGCGACGAUCCGUAACUGGUCUGAGAGGAUGAUCAGUCACACUGGAACUGAGACACGGUCCAGACUCCUACGGGAGGCAGCAGUGGGGAAUAUUGGACAAUGGGCGAAAGCCUGAUCCAGCCAUGCCGCGUGUGUGAAGAAGGUCUUCGGAUUGUAAAGCACUUUAAGUUGGGGGGAAGGGCAGUAAGUUAAUACCUUGCUGUUUUGACGUUACCAACAGAAUAAGCACCGGCUAACUUCGUG
rnacentral:rRNA from 1 species